rnacentral:misc_RNA from 1 species
GAUGAAGAACGCAGCGAAAUGCGAUACUUGGUGUGAAUUGCAGAAUCCCGUGAACCAUCGAGUCUUUGAACGCAAGUUGCGCCCGAAGCCAUUAGGCCGAGGGCACGCCUGCCUGGGCGUCACACGUCGUUGCCCCCCCAUCUACUCCUUCGGGAUUGCGGGGGGCGGAUGAUGGCCUCCCGUGCGCCUCGUCGCGCGGUUGGCAUAAAUGCCAAGUCCUCGGCGACGCACGCCACGACAAUCGGUGGUUGCGAAACCUCGGUUGCCCGUCGUGUGCGGUCGUCGCGCAUCGAGGGCUCGAAAAAAUUGUCGGGCUCCGGCUCGGCUUUCAACGCGACCCCAGGACAGGCGGGGUUACCCGCUGAAUUUAAGCAUAUCAAUAAGCGGAGGA